GAUGAACGCUGGUGGCGUGCCUAAUACAUGCAAGUCGAGCGAACGGACGAGAAGCUUGCUUCUCUGAUGUUAGCGGCGGACGGGUGAGUAACACGUGGAUAACCUACCUAUAAGACUGGGAUAACUUCGGGAAACCGGAGCUAAUACCGGAUAAUAUUUUGAACCGCAUGGUUCAAAAGUAAAAGACGGUCUUGCUGUCACUUAUAGAUGGAUCCGCGCUGCAUUAGCUAGUUGGUAAGGUAACGGCUUACCAAGGCAACGAUGCAUAGCCGACCUGAGAGGGUGAUCGGCCACACUGGAACUGAGACACGGUCCAGACUCCUACGGGAGGCAGCAGUAGGGAAUCUUCCGCAAUGGGCGAAAGCCUGACGGAGCAACGCCGCGUGAGUGAUGAAGGUCUUCGGAUCGUAAAACUCUGUUAUUAGGGAAGAACAUAUGUGUAAGUAACUGUGCACAUCUUGACGGUACCUAAUCAGAAAGCCACGGCUAACUACGUG
rnacentral:rRNA from 1 species